GAUGAACGCUGGCGGCGUGCUUAACACAUGCAAGUCGAACGGAAAGGCCAUAGCUUGCUGUGGUACUCGAGUGGCGAACGGGUGAGUAACACGUGGGUGAUCUGCCCUGUACUUCGGGAUAAGCUUGGGAAACUGGGUCUAAUACCGGAUAGGAAUCACAUGUGGGUGUGUGGUUGGAAAGCUUUUGCGGUAUGGGAUGAGCUCGCGGCCUAUCAGCUUGUUGGUGGGGUAAUGGCCUACCAAGGCGUCGACGGGUAGCCGGCCUGAGAGGGUGUACGGCCACAUUGGGACUGAGAUACGGCCCAGACUCCUACGGGAGGCAGCAGUGGGGAAUAUUGCACAAUGGGCGGAAGCCUGAUGCAGCAACGCCGCGUGGGGGAUGACGGCCUUCGGGUUGUAAACUCCUUUCGUCAGGGACGAAGCGAGAGUGACGGUACCUGGAUAAGAAGCACCGGCUAACUACGUG
rnacentral:rRNA from 1 species